rnacentral:rRNA from 1 species
ACGAGAGGGGGGGACGCGCGGGCGGAAGUAGGCAGGGGGAGAGCGUUGCUCGGAAUGACUGGGCGUGAAGCGGACGUAGGCGGAGUGCGAUGUCAGGGGUGAGAUCGUGGAGCUCAACUCCAGAAGUGCCUGGGAUACUGGCGAUCUUGAGGCCGGGAGAGGUGAGUGGAACUGGGAGUGUAGAGGUGAAAUUCGGAGAUAUUCGCAAGAACACCAGUGGCGAAGGCGGCUCACUGGCCCGGUACUGACGCUGAGGUGCGAAAGCGUGGGGAGCAAACAGGAUUAGAUACCCCAGUAGUC